GUGCCAGCCGCCGCGGUAAUACGUAGGAUGCUAGCGUUGUCCGGAAUUAUUGGGCGUAAAGAGCUCGUAGGCGGUCUGUUACGUCCGCUGUGAAAACCAAGGGCUUAACCUUGGGCUUGCAGUGGAUACGGGUAGACUAGAGGCAGGUAGGGGAGAAUGGAAUUCCCGGUGUAGCGGUGAAAUGCGCAGAUAUCGGGAGGAACACCGGUGGCGAAGGCGGUUCUCUGGGCCUGACCUGACGCUGAGGAGCGAAAGCGUGGGGAGCAAACAGGAUUAGAAACCCUUGUAGUCC
rnacentral:rRNA from 1 species